rnacentral:rRNA from 1 species
CCUACGGGAGGCAGCAGUAGGGAAUCUUCCACAAUGGGCGCAAGCCUGAUGGAGCAACACCGCGUGAGUGAAGAAGGGUUUCGGCUCUUAAAGCUCUGUUGUUGGAUAAGUACGUGCGUGAGAGUAACUGUUCACGCAGUGACGGUAUCCAACCAGAAAGUCACGGCUAACUCCGUGCCAGCAGCCGCGGUAAUACGUAGGUGGCAAGCGUUAUCAGGAUUUAUUGGGCGUAAAGCGAGCGCAGGCGGUUGGUUAGGUCUGAUGUGAAAGCCUUCGGCUUAACCGAAGAAGUGCAUCGGAAACCGGGCAACUUGAGUGCAGAAGAGGAGAGUGGAACUCGAUGUGUAGCGGUGGAAUGCGUAGAUAUAUGGAAGAACACCAGUGGCGAAGGCGGCUGUCUGGUCUGCAACUGACGCUGAGGCUCGAAAGCAUGGGUAGCGAACAGGAUUAGAUACCCUUGUAGUC